CACCGGAGAUCCACUCCCGACGACGGCGACCCACUCCUAAAACCCAACCGAUUGAGGUGGAUUGAUUCUGUCUGCCUUACAAACUAGAGCCCUUAUACUAUUUUCCUCCACCUCACAAAACUCGUCUCACCGGCGACCCUCUUUACGAUGACCCACUCCUCCAACUGAACCCAUUGCUUUGCCCUCAUUCUCUUUGCCCUCACUUCGCAAACCAGAGUUCCGUUGUGAGCAAACUAGUCCGACGUCAAUCAUCCAUAGGCAAACAAUUUGCGUGAGAUGCGUGUAGUAUCAAAUUGUGUACCAAAUUCAAUGCCUCAGAGCUAUUAUAUUCAACCAACAUUCCAGUCAGUAAGUGAAAGUUCAUGUGGAUAUAACAUUGGGUUUCGAUAUUCUAAAGAAUCAAAUAGUCCAAUGUGUAGGCAAGUUAUUUCAUUAACUUUGGCAAUUGUUAUUACAUUUUUUUGUACAUUGUUUGGCCCUUUGUUGCUGUGUUUUGUUAAUUUAUUUAUUUAUUUAUUUUAGGCUAUCAACAGGCACAAACAGGUGGAACGUACUGCAAAUUUCAGUCAUAGCAGUACAUAAAUUUCAUUGUUUCUUCCUUAAGGUUGCUGAAAAUGUUACUGAAAUGUUGCUCAAACUGCUGUCUCUCUGUUACUAAAACUGUUGUUGUCCAUUUGUUGCUUAUGAAACUUGGUGUCCAUCUGUUGCUCAAACUGCUGCUGUUCAUCUGUUGCUAAUGAAACUUGGUAUCCAUUUGUUGGUCAAACUACUGCUGCCCAUCUGUUGCUUAUUUUGCUGUUGUUUAUCUGUUACUGAAACUGCUGCUGCCCAUCUAUUGCUUAUUUUGAUGUUGUCCAUCUGUUGUUGAAACUAUUGUUGAAACAGUUUUUGUUCUUGUUUUUUUAUGUUGCUGAAAUUAUUGUGAACAUGUAUGAGGUUGAAUUUUGUGUGAACAAUUUGGAAUUGGAAAGAAACAACAUUAUUGCUGAAAUUCAAUUUGUUUAAAAACAAAGUUUCAUGAUUGUAGAAUGCUUCUUUGGGAGGAUGAAAGUUAUGAAUCUUUUUUGUUCUGUAGCUCAGCAAUUUCUCAUUUUUCUGAAUUUUUAUUUUUAUGGUUGUAAUGGAAAGCUCAUUUAUUUCCUCUUUCGUCAGUUUGAGUGCAUCCUGAAACUUCUAUAUUAUGUUUGCUGAUGAUUGGCACUUGUUGCAGCUCAAUUUGGGAAUUUCCUGAAAUAGAAAAAAGAGAAAGCUCUAUCACUACUUCACAGAGAAAUUAUGUUCUCCAAGAGAACAUGUCACAAUCUUCUCUUUUAACAUCCCAAGCAAACUAUCAAUUAGCAGUUACUUACAAUCAAUCUCUUUCUGGAGCUCUAAUACCAUCAAAUACUAUCUCUGCACCCAAACCAAAUCAUGGUAACACUGAUGCAAACAAGACCAAAAUGCUAUAAUUUACAAGUUCCAUAAUCAUCAAAUCCAUAACUACAUUAAUCAAAUUUCCAUUCAUCAAAACCAUCUAAAAUCAUUCUAUCCAUUCAUUAAAGCCAAAAUGCUACAAACUUCCAAAAUCAUUCCAUAAAAUUAAAGCCAAAAUGCUACAAACGCCAACAAUACAUCCGUUAAGUUUCAUAAAAUC